UCCCCAGUAGCUCAGUUGGCAGAGCAGAUGGCUGUUAACCAUCGGGUCCGCGGUUCGAGUCCGUGCUGGGGAGCCA
rnacentral:tRNA from 9 species